rnacentral:rRNA from 1 species
UGGGGAAUAUUGCACAAUGGGGGAAACCCUGAUGCAGCGACGCCGCGUGAGCGAAGAAGGUUUUCGAAUCGUAAAGCUCUGUCCUAUGAGAAGAUAAUGACGGUAUCAUAGGAGGAAGCCCCGGCUAAAUACGUGCCAGCAGCCGCGGUAAUACGUAUGGGGCGAGCGUUGUCCGGAAUUAUUGGGCGUAAAGCGAGCGCAGGCGGUUAGAAAAGUCUGAAGUGAAAGGCAGUGGCUCAACCAUUGUAGGCUUUGGAAACUGUUUAACUUGAGUGCAGAAGGGGAGAGUGGAAUUCCAUGUGUAGCGGUGAAAUGCGUAGAUAUAUGGAGGAACACCGGUGGCGAAAGCGGCUCUCUGGUCUGUAACUGACGCUGAGGCUCGAAAGCGUGGGGAGCGAACAGG